GGCGAAAGCGGCUCUNUGGUCUGUCACUGACGCUGAGGCUCGAAAGCGUGGGUAGCGAACAGGAUUAGAUACCCUGGUAGUCCACGCCGUAAACGAUGAGUGCUAGGUGUUAGGCCCUUUCCGGGGCUUAGUGCCGGAGCUAACGCAAUAAGCACUCCGCCUGGGGAGUACGACCGCAAGGUUGAAACUCAAAGGAAUUGACGGGGGCCCGCACAAGCGGUGGAGCAUGUGGUUUAAUUCGAAGCAACGCGAAGAACCUUACCAGGUCUUGACAUCCCGAUGCUAUUCUUAGAGAUAGGAAGUUACUUCGGUACAUCGGAGACAGGUGGUGCAUGGUUGUCGUCAGCUCGUGUCGUGAGAUGUUGGGUUAAGUCCCGCAACGAGCGCAACCCUUAUUGUUAGUUGCCAUCAUUAAGUUGGGCACUCUAGCGAGACUGCCGGUAAUAAACCGGAGGAAGGUGGGGAUGACGUCAAAUCAUCAUGCCCCUUAUGACCUGGGCUACACACGUGCUACAAUGGUCGGUACAACGAGUUGCGAGCCGGUGACGGCAAGCUAAUCUCUGAAAGCCGAUCUCAGUUCGGAUUGGAGGCUGCAACUCGCCUCCAUGAAGUCGGAACCGCUAGUAAUCGCGGAUCAGCACGCCGCGGUGAAUACGUUCCCGGGCCUUGUACACNCCGCCCGUCACACCACGAGAGUUUGUAAC
rnacentral:rRNA from 1 species